rnacentral:lncRNA from 1 species
GGAGUGAGCAGAGGGCUUUUUCAAGAGGUCUUUAUUACUGAGAUUGCUUUAGGCAGAGUAGAGGACCUCAAAAACUGUGCUUUCAGCAGAUGAGAGUUAGCAUAAGGUCGCAAAUUAAGAAAAGAAGGUUUUUCUUAAUGUCUGAGAAUGAAGACUAGGAUUGGUGAAGACAAAGAACAGUUUGAAGUACCCUGGGAAGUUUGGCAUAGUUUAAGGCACGGAAGCCUCCAGGGUAGACUUUGGAUUUAGUCCUAAGUUCCAAAUGAAAGCUGCCCUGCAGAGAGUAGUAAAAUCAGGACUCCUGGUGACAGAAUCAAGGCAGGUGACAGAAUCAAAGUUUAUCAACUGACCUGCAUCUGAAGCCCAUGUACACAUCAAGAGAGUCAUAAUCCAGAUGAAAAUGAGCAGAAGAUACAGGGGGAAAUUAAGCUUGAAUAAUUUUUACCACAACUGAAUUCAUGUUUGGAGAUCAUCUAAAGGCAUAUGGCAAUCACCACCCGCCAGCAAAAUGUUUAAAAGUUUGCCAAGGAUGUCUGAAUGGUGGCCAAUCUGAUCACAAUUACUCUGAUAUUGCAGCUACCUGGACUUCACUUAUGUAAAUGGAUAAAAACUGCACACAUUGUAUUGAGUUCAGCUCUUCCACCUUCCUCCACAGGGUUGCCCCAUUUCAACACUGCUUCACUUGUGUUGAAUUUGCUCAGAACUAUCACUAACUAUAGGAAACUUAAACCUCAUUUUGUUUUGCAGAUACUAUACCAAACAACAAGUAUAAAACAAACAAACAAACUUAGAUAAGCUGAUUUCUGUUUUUCAAAAUAUGGUAGUAUAGAAAUAAAU